rnacentral:rRNA from 1 species
UACGGGGGGGGCAAGCGUUGUUCGGAAUUACUGGGCGUAAAGGGCGCGUAGGCGGCUCAUGAAGGCUGUGGUGAAAGUCCGGGGCUCAACCUCGGAUCGGCCGUGGCGACUCGUGGGCUGGAGCACUGUAGAGGCGGGUGGAAUUCCGGGUGUAGCGGUGGAAUGCGUAGAGAUCCGGAAGAACACCAGUGGCGAAGGCGGCCCGCUGGGCAGUGGCUGACGCUGAAGCGCGACAGCGUGGGGAGCAAACAGG